UACGGAGGGGGCUAGCGUUGUUCGGAAUUGCUGGGCGUAAAGCGCGCGUAGGCGGACCUGCAAGUCGGGGGUGAAAGCCCGAGGCUCAACCUCGGAACUGCCUUCGAUACUGCGGGUCUCGAGUCCGGGAGAGGUGAGUGGAAUUCCUAGUGUAGAGGUGAAAUUCGUAGAUAUUAGGAAGAACACCAGUGGCGAAGGCGGCUCACUGGCCCGGUACUGACGCUGAGGCGCGAAAGCGUGGGGAGCAAACAGG
rnacentral:rRNA from 1 species